CAGUAGCCACGGGAAUACGGAGGGUGCAAGCGUUAUCCGGAUUUAUUGGGUUUAAAGGGUCCGUAGGCGGACUUAUAAGUCAGUGGUGAAAGCCUGUCGCUUAACGAUAGAACUGCCAUUGAUACUGUAAGUCUUGAGUAUAUUUGAGGUAGCUGGAAUAAGUAGUGUAGCGGUGAAAUGCAUAGAUAUUACUUAGAACACCAAUUGCGAAGGCAGGUUACCAAGAUAUAACUGACGCUGAGGGACGAAAGCGUGGGUAGCGAACAGGAUUAGAUACUCCAGUAGUCCCUGUCUCUUAUAC
rnacentral:rRNA from 1 species